rnacentral:rRNA from 1 species
UACAGAGGUCCCAAGCGUUGUUCGGAUUCACUGGGCGUAAAGGGUGCGUAGGCGGUCGGGUAAGUCUGAUGUGAAAUCUCACAGCUUAACUGUGAAACUGCAUUGGAUACUAUCCGGCUCGAGGAAUGGAGGGGAGACUGGAAUACUUGGUGUAGCAGUGAAAUGCGUAGAUAUCGAGAGGAACACCAGUGGCGAAGGCGAGUCCCUGGACAGGUCCUGACGCUGAGGCACGAAAGCUAGGGGAGCAAACAGG